UUGAAGAACCAUUCUGGGCAUCUUUAUUUAUUUAUUUAUUUAUUUUUUAAAGAUUUUAUUUAUUUAUUUCAGAGGGAGAGAGAGACAGAAUGCAAGCAUAAGCGGGGUGGAGAUAAGGAGAAGCAGACUCCCUGCUGAGCAGAGAGCCCCAUGCAGGGCUCCAUCCCUACUUUGGCUAGAAUCUGCGUACUAGUCUUUAUAUGCAAAAAGGCUCAGAUCUGUGCACCAAUCCAUCUGUGAAGCCAAAAGCUACUCUGGUGUAAAUAUGCCAUGGGGAUCCAUUUCAAAACACUGCUUCCUUUUGCCAAGACUGUGAAAUGGCACCAGGGAGCACUUUCAGAGACAGGCAGAAGCGUGUGGAUGUGCUGGACCAAACCUGAAACAUUUGUCCCUUCCACCUGUCAUCCUUCAUUAAGUCAGCUGGCUGCUAAGACACUCUGACAGGACACCGUCACGAUGCCACCCAAGAAAGACAGGGCACAAGAAAAAACUGCUUAUGGGUAGCCCAUGAAGAGAUGAAGGAAGGCAAACUGGUCUGCUUUGAUCCCCCCUGUCUCCUGUUUUCACUUCAUGGAGUUAGCACAACACAUCACUGAGUUGUGUUACCUGCCCCCCGGCAACAGCGCAUUCCUGUAAGAUGCCAGAUCCUGUAAGAUGCCAGAUGCCACACUCCGUGUGCUGUUCCAUUCAAGCCUGGAAGUGGCAGAGAUCCUAACACUCUGGGCCUGCUAGUGGUCGACUCUGCUGGGUGCUUGGUGCUCCAAGGGCAGGUGAUUGGUUGGGACUGGGAUGCUGUUGGAGCUGUAGGAAGGAAGGAAGCAUUGGAAGGAAUUUGAUGAGGUCCAUGAGGUUUGUGUCUGGCACAGAAAGGAAGGAUUCCAAAAACAUUUAGAAUAUGGAAAUACUAGUACUUUGUGAGAAUGAAUGUGGGAAGAUGAGAGAGGGAGUGUCAAAAAUGGCUCUUGUGAUUCUGGGUUCAGCA